rnacentral:rRNA from 1 species
UACGAAGGGGGCUAGCGUUGCUCGGAAUUACUGGGCGUAAAGGGCGCGUAGGCGGUUCUAUAAGUCAGGCGUGAAAUUCCUGGGCUUAACCUGGGGGCUGCGCUUGAGACUGUGGGACUUGAGGUCAGAAGAGGGUCGUGGAAUUCCCAGUGUAGAGGUGAAAUUCGUAGAUAUUGGGAAGAACACCGGUGGCGAAGGCGGCGACCUGGUCUGAUACUGACGCUGAGGCGCGACAGCGUGGGGAGCAAACGGG